UACAGAGGUCUCAAGCGUUGUUCGGAUUCAUUGGGCGUAAAGGGUGCGUAGGCGGCGCGGUAAGUCGGGUGUGAAAUUUCGAGGCUUAACUUCGAAACUGCAUUCGAUACUGCCGUGCUUGAGGACUGGAGAGGAGACUGGAAUUUACGGUGUAGCGGUGAAAUGCGUAGAUAUCAGCAGGAACACCCGUGGCGAAGGCGGCUUCCUGGAUCGUUGCUGACGCUGAGGCGCGAAAGCGUGGGGAGCGAACGGG
rnacentral:rRNA from 1 species